rnacentral:rRNA from 1 species
UACGGGGGGGGCAAGCGUUGUUCGGAAUUACUGGGCGUAAAGGGCUCGUAGGCGGCCAACUAAGUCAGACGUGAAAUCCCUCGGCUUAACCGGGGAACUGCGUCUGAUACUGGAUGGCUUGAGUUCGGGAGAGGGAUGCGGAAUUCCAGGUGUAGCGGUGAAAUGCGCAGAUAUCGGGAGGAACACCAGUAGCGAAGGCGGCACUCUGGGCCGGUACUGACGCUGAGGAGCGAAAGCGUGGGGAGCAAACAGG